rnacentral:rRNA from 1 species
GCAGUGGGAGCACCCUUUGGGGUGUGACUGCGUACCUUUUGUAUAAUGGGUCAGCGACUUAUAUUCUGUAGCAAGGUUAACCGUAUAGGGGAGCCGGAGGGAAACCGAGUCUUAACCGGGCGUUAAGUUGCAGGGUAUAGACCCGAAACCCGGUGAUCUAGCCAUGGGCAGGUUGAAGGUUGGGUAACACUAACUGGAGGACCGAACCGACUAAUGUUGAAAAAUUAGCGGAUGACCUGUGGCUGGGGGUGAAAGGCCAAUCAAACCGGGAGAUAGCUGGUUCUCCCCGAAAGCUAUUUAGGUAGCGCCUCGUGAAUUCAUCUCCGGGGGUAGAGCACUGUUUCGGCUAGGGGGCCAUCCCGGCUUACCAACCCGAUGCAAACUGCGAAUACCGGAGAAUGUUAUCACGGGAGACACACGGCGGGUGCUAACGUCCGUCGUGAAGAGGGAAACAACCCAGACCGCCAGCUAAGGUCCCAAAGUCAUGGUUAAGUGGGAAACGAUGUGGGAAGGCCCAGACAGCCAGGAUGUUGGCUUAGAAGCAGCCAUCAUUUAAAGAAAGCGUAAUAGCUCACUGGUCGAGUCGGCCUGCGCGGAAGAUGUAACGGGGCUAAACCAUGCACCGAAGCUGCGGCAGCGACGCUGAUGCGUUGUUGGGUAGGGGAGCGUUCUGUAAGCCUGCGAAGGUGGCCUGUGAGGGUUGCUGGAGGUAUCAGAAGUGCGAAUGCUGACAUAAGUAACGAUAAAGCGGGUGAAAAGCCCGCUCGCCGGAAGACCAAGGGUUCCUGUCCAACGUUAAUCGGGGCAGGGUGAGUCGACCCCUAAGGCGAGGCCGAAAGGCGUAGUCGAUGGGAAACGGGUUAAUAUUCCCGUACUUGGUGUUACUGCGAAGGGGGGACGGAGAAGGCUAUGUUGGCCGGGCGACGGUU